rnacentral:rRNA from 1 species
GGAUUAGAUACCCUAUUAUUUUUGAUAUAAAUUAUUUAUAACCUGAGUAGUAUUAGUUAUGUUCUUGAAACUUAAAGAAUUUGGCGGUAUUUUAGUCUAUUUAGAGGAAUCUGUCUCUUAAUCGAUAAUUCGCGUUGAACCUUACCAUAUUAUUGUAUGUAUACCGCCGUUAUAAUGAGGAUCUUUUUAGAGUUGUUAAGGAAUUUUCUUGUUUUAUUUUUGUGAUUUAUUUCAGGUCAAGGUGCAGCUACAUAUUUUGGUGUAAGAUGGAUUACAUUUAUAUUAAUAUUUGGAUUAUUUAUUGGAAUUUUAAUAUAAAAUUGGAUUUAAUUGUAAUUUUUUGAAGAUUAUAAGGAUGAACAUUAGCUCUAUAAUAUGUACACAUCGCCCGUCACUCUCACUAUUAUUUGAGAUAAGUC